rnacentral:lncRNA from 1 species
AAAUCACAUAGGCAUCUCAAAACUUGCAACAUAUGGGACACUAAUAACCGUCAAUUCCUUUCGGGUCAUCAAGGCAUCAUAACAGUUUCAAAAUUUAGGCUCAUAUAUAUAUAUAUAUAUAUAUAUAUAUAUAUAUAUAUAUAUAUAUAUAUAUAUAUAUAUAGGGCAUAUCAAGUAAGAGGACCUUUUAAAAUGAGAGAUGAGAGGGUGAAAUCACAACCCUUAGAUCAAUCUUUAUUGUGUUACUUAAAUUUUAAAACUGCUUCUUCUCUCGCCGUCUAUUCAUCUCCCUGUGAUAUUUCAGUUUCUUUUUUUUCUUUCAAAUGUUAUUAUUCAAGAUCCAAUGGAAGGCAAUUUUGAUGUAUCAUGGCUAACUUAAUCAAAAAAACAAUCACACCUUAUGAAUCACACCAAAGAGAAGUUUGGAAAAUAUGAAUUGUUAUGAAUCAUAGAAGCCGUAAAAAAAACUAAAACAUCAAAUCCAAAUUUGGGAUAUGGGUUAUCAUUAAAUCAAACCUUGUAAAAGAGCUGUAAUGAUGAUUCGGUAAUCCACUUUCAGUUUAUAGAAUAGAAAAAGAAAGAAGAACAAAAACUAAUCUUUUUUAAAUCUUCAUGGAUUUCAUUUCUGCUGCACUUUCUUCAUGUUCCUGUCACUAAUUAAAAGAAUGCAUAAUUUUAUUCAUUGAAUUUCAUAGUUUAUCCCAAAUUCAUUUAUUAGUAGUAGUUUGAUGGUUUGAUACAAAAUAGUUUUCUUCUGGAAAUCACGUUCGUACUCAUAGCUAAAAAAAGAAGAGAAAUAGAGUUGAUGAAACAGGAUAAUUUGGGCUGGAAUUGGAGAAGACAAUUUGGAAAAGAAAAAAACAUAAAUCUAAGAGAAGAAAGGAAGAGGGAUGAAAGCGCUUACCCACUUAACUACAAGAGAAGACAAUCACACGUGUGUGCAGCAGUGCAGGUAUCACAAAUAAAUAUCAGCCAUUUGAUUUGAUCUAAGGGUUGCGAUUUAACCCUCUCACUCUCAUUUUAAAUAGUGGUCUCAUUUGAUACACCCUAUAUAUAUAUAUGACAAUUCAUAGUAUAAAAUUGCACUCAAGAUCAUAAAAUCACCAUGGCAUCCCAACAAUUGCAACAUAAGGGACAAAUAAUAUCCGUCAAUUCCUUUCGGAUCAUCGAGACAUUAUAAUAGUAUCAAAAUUUAGGCUCAUAUGUCAUAUAUGAGUGACAAUCCACAGUAUAAAAUUGCAUUCAAGAUCAUACAAUCAUUGAGGCAUCCCAACACUUGCAACAUAUGAGACAAAUAAUAUCCGUCAAUUCCUUUCAGGUCAUCGAGACAUCAUAAUAGUUUCAAAAUUUACGCUCAUAUAUCAUAUAUGAGUCACAAUUCAUAUUAUAGAAUUGCAUUCAAGAUCAUAAAAUAACCGAGGCAUCCCAACACUUUCAACGUAUAGGACAAAUAAUAUCCGUCAAUUCCUUUCGGGUCAUCCAGCAAUCAUAAUAGUUUCAAAAUCACCCAGGCAUCAUAAUAGUUUUAAAAUUUAGGCUCAAAUAUCAUAUAUGAGACACAAUUCAUAGAAUAGAAUUGCACUCAAGAUCAUAAAAUCAUUAAGGCAUCCCAACACUUCCAACAAAUAAUAUCCGUCAAUUCCUUUCGGGUCAUCGAGGCAUCAUAAUAGUUUCAAAAUUUAGACUCAUAUCAUAUCUGAGUGACAAUUCAUAGUAUAGAAUUGCACUCAAGAUCAAAAAAUCAUUGAGGCAUCCAACACUUGCAACAUAUCGAACAAAUAAUAUCCGUCAAUUCCUUUCGGGUCAUCCAGCAAUCAUAAUAGUUUCAAAAUCACCCAGGCAUCAUAAUAGUUUCAAAAUUUAGGCUUAUAUAUCAUACAUGAGUGACAAUUCAUAGUAUAGAAUUGCAUUCAAGAUCAUAAAAUCAUUGAGGCAUCCCAACACUUGCAACAUAUGGGACAAAUAAUAUCCGUGAAUUCCUUUCGGGUCAUCGAGGCAUCAUAAUAGUUUCAAAAUUUAGGCUCAUAUAUGAUAUAUGAGUCACAAUUCAUAUUAUAGAAUUGCAUUCAAGAUCAUAAAAUCACCAAGGCACACCAACACUUGCAACAUAUGGGACAAAUAAUAUCCGGCAAUUCCUUUCAGUUCAUCGAGGCAUCAUAAUAGUUUCGAAAUCAUCAAGGCAUCAUAAUAGUUUCAAAAUUUAGGCUUAUAUAUCAAACAUGAGUGACAAUUCAUAGUAUAGAAUUGCACUCAAGAUCAUUAAAUCAUUAAGGCAUCCCAACACCUGCAACAUAUUGGACAAAUAAUAUCCGUGAAUUCCUUUCGGGUCAUCGAGACAUCAUAAUAGUUUCAAAAUUUGAGCUAGUUUAGAAUUUUACUCGAGAUCAUAAAAUCACAUAGGCAUCUCAAAACUUGCAACAUAUGGGACAAAUUAGAACCGUCAAUUCCUUUCGGGUCAUCAAAGCAUCAUAAUAGUUUCAAAUUUGGGCGCAUAUAUCAUAUGAGUAACAAUUCAUAGUCUAGAAUUGCACUCAAGAUCAUAAAAUCACAUAGGCAUCUCAAAACUUGCAACAUACGGAACAAAUAAUAUCCGUCAAUUCAUUUCGG